rnacentral:piRNA from 1 species
CAAUGACAGAAGAUGGCUGCU